GGCGAACGGGUGAGUAACACGUGGGUAAUCUGCCCUGCACUCUGGGAUAAGCCUGGGAAACUGGGUCUAAUACUGGAUAUGACCUUUCUCCUUAUGGGGUUUGGUGGAAAGUUUUCGGUGUAGGAUGAGCCCGCGGCCUAUCAGCUUGUUGGUGGGGUGAUGGCCUACCAAGGCGACGACGGGUAGCCGGCCUGAGAGGGUGAUCGGCCACAUUGGGACUGAGAUACGGCCCAG
rnacentral:rRNA from 1 species